CUGCUGUGAUGAUACUGAACAGAUAACUGAAUAUCUGUGUAGAAAAAAAUACGAGCUUUUUAAAUCUGAGCAGC